rnacentral:rRNA from 1 species
UCCUGGUGGCGAGUGGCGAAACGGGUGAGUAAGUGUAUCGGAACGUGCCUGUCGUGGGGAUAACGUAGCGAAAGCUACGCUAAUACCGCAUACCAUCUAAGGAUGAAAGCGGGGAUCGCAAGACCUCGCGCGACAAGAGUGGCCGAUAUCAGAUUAGGUUGUUGGUGGGGUAAAGGCCUACCAAGCCGACGAUCUGUAGCUGGUCUGAGAGGACGACCAGCCACACUGGGACUGAGACACGGCCCAGACUCCUACGGGGAGGCAGCAGUGGGGAAUUUUGGACAAUGGGCGAAAGCCUGAUCCAGCAAUGCCGCGUGCAGGAUGAAGGCCUUCGGGUUGUAAACUGCUUUUGUACAGAGCGAAACAGUCUCUCCUAAGUACGGGGGCGAAUGACGGUACUGUAAGAAUAAGCACCGGCUAACUACGUG